rnacentral:rRNA from 1 species
UACGGGGGGAGCAAGCGUUGUUCGGAUUUACUGGGCGUAAAGGGCGCGUAGGCGGCGUGACAAGUCACUUGUGAAAUCUCCGGGCUUAACUCGGAACGGUCAGAUGAUACUGCUUUGCUCGAGUGCGGAAGGGGCAAUCGGAAUUCUUGGUGUAGCGGUGAAAUGCGUAGAUAUCAAGAGGAACACCUGAGGUGAAGACGGGUUGCUGGCCGACACUGACGCUGACAGCGCGAAAGCCAGGGAGCAACGG